rnacentral:piRNA from 1 species
GCCUAGCUUGUGCUUUGGAAUGGUUUCU